rnacentral:misc_RNA from 1 species
GAUGAAGAACGUAGCAAAAUGCGAUAAGUAAUGUGAAUUGCAGAAUUCAGUGAAUCAUCGAAUCUUUGAACGCACAUUGCGCCCGCUGGUAUUCCGGCGGGCAUGCCUGUUCGAGCGUCAUUUCAACCCUCAAGCCCCCGGGUUUGGUGUUGGGGAUCGGCUCUGCCCUUCUGGGCGGUGCCGCCCCCGAAAUACAUUGGCGGUCUCGCUGCAGCCUCCAUUGCGUAGUAGCUAACACCUCGCAACUGGAACGCGGCGCGGCCAUGCCGUAAAACCCCAACUUCUGAAUGUUGACCUCGGGUCAGGUAGGAAUACCCGCUGAACUUAAGCAUAUCAAUAAGCGGAGGA